CUCAGGAUGAACGCUAGCGGCAGGCUUAAUACAUGCAAGUCGUGGGGCAGCAUGAGUAGCAAUACUUGAUGGCGACCGGCAAACGGGUGAGGAACACGUACACAACCUUCCUUCAAGCGGGGGAUAGCCCAGAGAAAUUUGGAUUAAUACCCCAUAAUAUAUUUGAUAAGGCAUCUUAUUAAUAUUAAAGCUUCGGCACUUGAUGAUGGGUGUGCGGCUGAUUAGAUAGUUGGCGGGGUAACGGCCCACCAAGUCUACGAUCAGUAGCUGAUGUGAGAGCAUGAUCAGCCACACGGGCACUGAGACACGGGCCCGACUCCUACGGGAGGCAGCAGUAAGGAAUAUUGGACAAUGGACGAAAGUCUGAUCCAGCCAUGCCGCGUGAAGGAUUAAGGUCCUCUGGAUUGUAAACUUCUUUUAUAUGGGACGAAAAAGGGCAUUCUUGUUCACUUGACGGUACCAUAUGAAUAAGCACCGGCUAACUCCGUG
rnacentral:rRNA from 1 species